rnacentral:rRNA from 1 species
AGAACGAACGCUGGCGGCAUGCCUAAUACAUGCAAGUCGAACGAACUCUUCGGAGUUAGUGGCGCACGGGUGCGUAACGCGUGGGAAUCUGCCCUUGGGUUCGGAAUAACAGUUGGAAACGACUGCUAAUACCGGAUGAUGACGAAAGUCCAAAGAUUUAUCGCCCAGGGAUGGAGCCCGCGUAGGAUUAGCUGGUUGGUGAGGUAAAGGCUCACCAAGGCAACGAUCCUUAGCUGGUCUGAGAGGAUGAUCAGCCACACUGGGACUGAGACACGGCCCAGACUCCGUACGGGAGCAAGCAAGGUAGGGAAUAGUUGGAACGAAGUCGGGACGAAAGCCUAGGAUUACCAGACAAUGCCGACGUGAGUGAUGAAGGCUUAGGUCGUAAGCUACGUUUACCGAGGUAU